GAUGAACGUUGGCGGCGUGCCUGAGAUAUGCAAGUCGAGCGACCCCUCCGAUUCGGAGGGGAGCGGCGAACGGCUGAGUAACACGUAGGAACCUACCCCUAAGUCGAGGAUAGUCCGCCGAAAGGCGGAGUAAUACUCGAUGGUCUCCGACGUUACGUCGAAGUAAAGGAUCUAACCGUCCGCUUAGGGAGGGGUCUGCGGCCUAUCAGGUAGUUGGUAGGGUAACGGCCUACCAAGCCGAUGACGGGUAGCUGGCCUUAUGAGGGUGGUCAGCCAGAGGGGGACUGAGACACGGCCCCCACUCCUACGGGAGGCAGCAAUCAGGAAUCGUCGGCAAUGGGCGAAAGCCUGACCGCGCGACGCCGCGUGCGGGAAGAAGCUCUUCGGAGUGUAAACCGCUGUGGUAGGGGAGGAAGCCCCGACGUUACGUCGGGGAUGACAGUACCCUACUAGAAAGGGGCCGCUAACUGCGUGCCAGAAGCGUCGGUAAUACGUGGGUCCCAAACGUUAUCCGGUGUCACUGGGUGUAAAGGGUCGUGUAGGCGUCCUGUCAAGUUUUACCUCAAAGACUAUGGCUCAACCAUAGGAAGGGGUAAAAAACUGACGGGAUAGAAUUCCCUCAAGGGGGACAGGAACUUGCGGAGGAGCAGUGAAAUGCGUUGAUACCGCAGGGAACACCAGUGGCGAAGGCGCGUCCCUUCGAGGGAAUUGACGCUGAGACACGAAAGCUAGGGGAGCGAAGCAGAUUAGAGACCUGCGUAGUCCUAGCCGUAAACGCAUGUCCGCUAGCUGUGCUUUUCUUCGCCUCAUCGGCGGGUUAGGCAUGGCGAAGGUAACCCGUUAAGCAGACCGCCUGGGGACUACGGCCGCAAGGCUAAAACUCAAAGGAAUUGGCGGGGAGGCACACAACCAGUGGAACAUGUGGUUCAAUUCGAGACGAACCGAAGAACCUCACCAGGGCUUGACAUGCUACCGUUCACCCGAAAGGAAACUUUCGGGGAUCCGCAAGGAUGGUAGCACAGGUGCUGCAUGGCUGUCGUCAGCUCGUUCCGUGAGGAGUGCCCUUAAGUGGGACAACGAGCGCAACCCCCGUCCUGUGUUAGAAAUGUCACAGGAGACAGCCCCUCCGAUUCGGAGGGGAGGAAGGAGGGGUAGACGUCAAGUCAGCAUGGCCCUUAUGCCCUGGGCUACACACAUGUUACAAUGGGAAGGACAGCGGGCUUUGCCACACCGUAAGGUGGAGCGAAUCCCUCAAACCUUCCCCAAGUUGGGAUUGAGGUCUGCAACUCGACCUCAUGAACGCGGAAUUGGUAGUAAUCGCGGAUCAGUCAUGCCGCGGUGAAUACGUUCUUGCCUCUUGCACACACCGCCCGUCAAGCCAACAAAGUCGGGGAUGGUUGAACUCCGCCUGUGGCGGGGGAAAUCAUUCCCGGCGAUGGGGGUU
rnacentral:rRNA from 1 species